rnacentral:rRNA from 1 species
UACGUAGGCAGCAAGCGUUGUUCGGAGUUACUGGGCGUAAAGGGUGUGUAGGCGGUUCCUUAAGUUUGCUGUGAAAUCUCCCGGCUUAACCGGGAGGGUGCGGUGAAUACUGAGGGACUAGAGUACGGGAGAGGAAAGUGGAAUUCCUGGUGUAGCGGUGAAAUGCGCAGAUAUCAGGAGGAACACCGAUAGCGAAGGCAGCUCGCUGGGACGGUACUGACGCUGAGGCGCGAAAGCGUGGGGAGCGAACAGG